rnacentral:lncRNA from 7 species
GGUGUUGCAGGAGGCGUGGCUCCUGUGUCAGCCUCCAACUUGGUCGUGUCCCCUUUCUGGCUCACCCUAUCUCUCUCUGACUAGAGAUUGCAGCAGUUUGAUCUGAGACUCACCCAGAAAUCUGGUCUAAGUGCAACUUCAGGGAAGUUCCUGGUGCUGUCGGGAAAACACAGGACCGAGCCAAUUAGGAGUCCAUUCUCCACAACAACAGCAACAGCAGCAACAACAACAACAAAAAUGUGUAGCCUGGGGGCUGGUGAGAUGGCUCAGUGGGUAAGAGCACCCGACUGCUCUUCCGAAGGUCAGGAGUUCAAAUCCCAGCAACCACAUGGUGGCUCACAACCAUCCGUAACGAGAUCUGACUUCUUCUUCUGGAGUGUCUGAAGACAGCUACAGUGUACUUACAUAUAAUAAAUAAAUAAAUCUAAAAAAAAAAAAAA